GAUGAAGAACGCAGCGAAAUGCGAUAAGUAAUGUGAAUUGCAGAAUUCAGUGAAUCAUCGAAUCUUUGAACGCACAUUGCGCCCCCUGGUAUUCCGGGGGGCAUGCCUGUCCGAGCGUCAUUACAACCCUCAAGCUCAGCUUGGUGUUGGGCCCCGCCGCCCCGGCGGGCCCUAAAGACAGUGGCGGUGCCGUCCGGCUCCGAGCGUAGUAAUUCUUCUCGCUCUGGAGGUCCGGUCGUGUGCUCGCCAGCAACCCCCAAUUUUUUUCAGGUUGACCUCGGAUCAGGUAGGGAUACCCGCUGAACUUAAGCAUAUCAAUAAGCGGAGGA
rnacentral:misc_RNA from 1 species